rnacentral:rRNA from 1 species
AUCAACGCUGGCGGCGCGCUUAACACAUGCAAGUCGCACGAGGAAAGGGAGCAAUCCUGAGUAAAGUGGCGCACGGGGUGAGUAACACGUGGAUUAUCUGCCUUUUAGUGGGAAUAACCUCUGGGAAACCGGAGGGCAAUACCGCAUAUAGCCUGUUAAAGGGGAAAGCCGAAAGGUCGGUUGAAAGAGGAGUCCGCGGCCGAUUAGCUAGUUGGUGAGGGUAAUGGCUCACCAAGGCGACGAUCGGGUAGCCGGCCUGAGAGGGCGACACGGCCACACUGGGCACUGAAACACGGGCCAGACUCCUACGGGAGGCAGCAGUGGGGAAUCUUGCACAAUGGGCGAAAGCCUGAUGCAGCGACGCCGCGUGAGCGAUGAAGCCCUUCGGGUUGUAAAGCUCUUUCGACAGGGAACGAUAAGUGACGGUACCUGCGAGAAGAAGCUGCGGCCUAACUACGUGCCAGCAGCCGCGGUAAUACGUAGGCAGCGAGCGUUGUUCCGGAAUUACUGGGCGUAAAGAGUGUGUAGGCGGCUUGCUCCCAGUCUGAUUGUGAAAUCUCCGCUUAACUGGGAGGGUGCAUGCGGAUAACUAGGCAGGCUAGAGGGUCGGGAGAGGUAAGCGGAAUUCCUGGUGUAGCGGUGAAAUGCGUAGAUAUCAGGAGGAACACCUGUGUGUAGACAGCGGUCUACUGGACCACUUACUGACGCUGAGGACACGAAAGCGUGGGUAGCGAAACAGGAUUAGAUACCCUGGUAGUCCACGCCCUUAAACGAUGGGCAUACUUAGGUGUGGGAGGCCUCUCAUUUCGUUCUGUGCCGGCAGCUAACGCAGUUAAGUAUGCCCGCCUGGGGAGUACGGUCGCAAGGCUGAAACUCAAAGGAAUUGACGGGGGCCCGCACAAGCGGUGGAGCAUGUGGUUCAAUUCGACGCAACGCGAAGAACCUUACCUGGGCUCGAACGGCUUCGGAGCAUCUUGGAACAGAGACUUCCCGCAAGGGACCGGUAGUUCGAGGUGCUGCAUGGCUGUCGUCAGCUCGUGUCGUGAGAUGUUGGGUUAAGUCCCGCCAACGAGCGCAACCCUUGUCCUUAGUUGCCACUCCGUAGUGAAGCACUCUCAGGAGACCGCCAGCGAUAACGUGGAGGAAGGUGGGGAUGAUGUCAAUGUCAUCAUGGCCCUUUAUGUCCAGGGCUACACACGUGCUACAAUGGACGGUACAAAGCGCUGCAAACCCGCGAGGGGGAGCCAAUCGCAAAAACCGUUCUCAGUUCGGAUCGCAGGCUGCAACUCGCCUGCGUGAAGCUGGAAUCGCUAGUAAUGGCGUAUCAGAACGAUGCCGGUGAAUACGUUCCCGGGCCUUGUACACACCGCCCGUCACAUCACGAAAGUGGAUCGUACUAGAAGUCCUAAUCAACCAGGGGCCCAAGGUAUGACUCAUGAUUGGGGGU